UACAGAGGUCUCAAGCGUUGUUCGGAAUCACUGGGCUUAAAGGGCGCGUAGGCGGGCGGCCGCGUCCGGGGUGAAAUCCCACGGCUCAACCGUGGAACGGCCUCGGAUACGGGCGGCCUCGAGGGGGGUAGGGGCAUCUGGAACUGUGAGUGGAGCGGUGAAAUGCGUUGAUAUUCACAGGAACUCCGGUGGCGAAGGCGAGGUGCUGGACCCCAUCUCGACGCUGAGGCGCGAAAGCCAGGGGAGCGGAACGGGAUUAGAAACCCGUG
rnacentral:rRNA from 1 species